rnacentral:tRNA from 5 species
GCGGGUGUAGUUUAGUGGUAAAACCUCAGCCUUCCAAGCUGAUGAUGGGAGUUCGAUUCUCCUCACCCGCU